GGAUGUGAUGGCGAUCUGGCUUCAACAUCUACCAUCCCAUAGAUCGCCAGGGUUGAUUCUGCUGAUUUGGCUGUCUAGGUGGGUGUCCCCUUCCCCCCACAGCUCCGUGUGCAUCCCUCCUGAGGCUGUGUGCUAGGUGAAAGAGGACAACCACUCUGGAUAGAAAGGACCAUUUCCUCAGUCAGCCUUCAAAGAAGCUGUCAAAGAGGUUGAGGCAGAGAGAUUGCAUGACUUGGAGGCUAGCCUGGUCU
rnacentral:sRNA from 1 species